GGUUCUCGGUGCGAGAUUAAAAGGGAAUCAAGUGUAAGUCUUGAACAGUCCCGCUGCUGUGAGUUCUAACCGUAAAGGUUGAUUUCAAAAUAUCCUUUGGCCACUGUUGUUUGUUCAAUGGGAAGGCAUUUUGAGAGGAACGAGUCAGAAGACCUGCCUUUUGCUUAU
rnacentral:ncRNA from 1 species